UAGAUUGUCAAUUUAUUGAUGACAGAGAUGAUCUUUCGCUUUUUUUUUUUUUUUAAUCCGCAGCUCUUAUUCCAAUGUCUGCCUUUCGACAAAUUGAUAGGUCGUAUUCCUCUGGCUUCACACGAUGAACUGUCUAACCGAAUCUCCCACCUUCCCUCUAUAAUAAAACAAUUCUCGCGUUUCCACUCCACUCUGCUGGGCUCCUUAAAUUCAUUCCAGAAGCCAAAGCACUGGUGCCUAGAUUUUGAGCGGGCGCGCGCUGGAGAGGGUUGGAGCCUUGAGUGUGGGAAGAGAGAGGGAGGGAAGGAGGGUUGAGGGAGAGCCACCUGUGGCCCUUACCGGGAGCUCGCUUGCGGCUCACCUGGCAUUGGUCAAUGUCCAGCAGGAGGCGCGAGGAUUAUAGUUAGAAUCUCCUUCUCCCAGUAAUUAAGUAUCCUUGAAUAGUUACGCCCAAACACUUAAAAAUUUAAACAAUGUCCGGGAGGAGGAGAAGGGGAAGGGCCCUUUAGGAAAUGAAAUUAAGUGACCUACCCAUGUCUACGUGACUUGGAUUUCGGCCAGCCUUCUUCCGGGGCGUAAUUUUCGGUAUAUAAAGUUUAGCGGCUGCAAACUUCUCUAAUAAUAGUUCUCAGCUGUAGCGAGGCAUCCUCAAAAACCGGCUCCUCCUCUCCGACUGCUAUUUCAAAAGUCGCAAUCAUGAACUUCUUUCAAUUCCUCAUGAAGAAGAAAGAACUUAUUCCUUUGAUCGCAUUUGUAAGUAUUGCUGGAAGUGGAGCAGCCUAUAUGGCCACGUACUCCUUUUUCAAAAGUGAUGUGAUUGUUAACAGAUGGCAAAAUCCAGAACCUUGGGAAAAUGUGAAUCCUAGCAAGCCUCAAAAGCUUGUCACAAUUAACCAAAGAUGGGAACCUGUUGAAGAGCUGCAGGCUAUCAAAAAGUUGACCAAAUGAAGAGUUUCCUUCUAAAUCACACACUGAAUCUAAUGGAAACAUUUCUGCACAAACUAGACUAUUGAAACCAGUGUGCAAAAUUGCUUCUGCUACAUUUUUAGGAAUACAUAGGAAAUUUCCAUUUUGCCCCAAAAGUGGCAAGCUUGGCAAUAUCUGUAGUCGGUCCAAAAAAAUUCUCAUAUUUGCUGUAUUGGAAAGGUGACAAUCUAAAAUGCUGCUCUACAAUUUGAAUUUUCAUAUUCUAAAUAAGAACUUUUUGAAAUGUAAAGAUUAUUACAUACAUUCUUAUAGAGCUAUUCUUAACUUUAUUUUGGGGAUCUUUGAUUUUGUUGGGGUGUGUACAGACAUACUUUAGAGAUUGGUUCAGAAGUUCCAGACCACUGCAAUAAAAGCAAAUAUCUCAAAGCAAGUCACAUAAAUUUUUUUAGUUUUUUCAGUGUGUGCAAAUUUUUUUUUAAGAUGACCAUAACGGCUAUAAUAAUGAAAAAAGUUUGAAAUAAUGCUAAAAUUACUAUGACACAGGCACCUUCCCAGCUUCUAGAUGACAUUGCCUUAAAGAACACAGGGUCACUUCCAACUCCUUGACCUACAUCCAUUUAUCAGAGUUUAGUCUUACGUAGAAACUUCAUUAUUACAGAUUAAGUUAUAGUACUUACUACAGAAAGAGUGUUGGCCCUUGAAAUUUCAGGAUCUGAGGGAAAUUCUAAUUGCCAAAAGUUCUACUGGCUCCUUGUUUCCAGUAUCAAUUACAAAAUGCGUUAUAAGCUCAUCUGGUCUCCUACCUUUCCAGUCUCAUACACUCUUCUCACUAGUCUCCUUGCUGUUCUCCAAAUGAUAUUCCAUCUCGAUUCUGGGCAUUUAUGCUUUUCCUCCUUAUCUCUCUCCUGGCUUCUUUUAAGUUUCAACUGAAAUCCCAUCUCCAGGAAAACAAUUCUGGUUCUUUCCCUUUCAAUCAUCCAUAGCUUGUUUGUACAUAUUUGUUUGCUUGUCUCACCCAUUAGAUUGUGAGUUCUUGCAAGGCAGGAGCUCUUUGGUUCCUUUGCCUCUUAUUCCCAUCACUUAAUGCACUGCCUGCCAUAUAGUAGGUGUUGAACAAAUAAAUGUUUGUUUGCUUUGUGUUAGUUUUUUUUGUUUUGUUUUGUUUCAGGGGGAGACAAUUGGGAUAAGUGACACAGCUAGUAAGUAUCUGAGCUGGAUCUAAACUGGGGUUCUCCUGAUUCUAGGGCCUGUGUUCUAUCUGUCGCACUACCUUCCCUGUGUCUAGUCUUUCAGGGUGGGAAAAUGCAGCUUUCAGUGGUGGUUGCUGAUUGAAAUGAUGCUUGUAUAUUUUUAAGAGAAACACAUGUCUACUGUGAUAUUGUUUUAUCAUGUGAUAGUGCUCCGAGGUAUAUUCAAUUUAUAUCAAGCUAAUCUAAACAAAAUUGUAGGAAAUCUACUGCUCCUAACAUCACUACCUAUUCCUCAAUACCCAGCUUUUAUAUCAAGAUUUUCUUGGCUACAUCAGCAAAUAACUUAUUUAAUUUUUUUCUCUAAAUACCUACAUUACCAAACCCCACAAUUUACCGCUUAAUUAUAUAUUGUUUUGUAGCAUUCAUUGUUUAAUUUCUACUAGUUUCAUCUUCCCAAUUAAACUAAAUUCUUUGAUGGCAAAGAUUAUGCUUUAGAUUAUCUUCUAAAAAUUUAAAAACAUUUUUAUUGAAAAUUUUCAAGUUUCAAAUUCUAUUCUUGCCCUCUCCUCAUCCCUUAUCUUAUGACUAUAAGCAAAUAUAAUUAUACAUAUGCAAUUAUACAAAACAAUUGCAUAUUAGUCAUUUUUUACACGAAGACUUGAAUGAGAAAAACAAUGAAAAAAAGUGAUAUGAUCUUGUGAAUUGAUAUGACUCUUGUGAGUUGUGUGUACCCAGAGAGAGAGGACUGUGGGAACUAAGUGUGGAACCCAAGUAUUUUCACUUUUGUUAUUGUUUGUUUUGUUUUUUGCAUUUUUUCCUUUUUGACCUGAUUUUUCUUGUGCAGCAAGAUAAUUGUGAAAAUAUAUAUAGAAGAAUUGGACACAAUGAGUGGAGGGAAGGGAGGGGAAAAAAUUGGAACACAAGAUUUGGCAAAGGUGAAAGUUGAAAAGUAUCUAUGCCUGUUUUGAAACUAAAAAGCUUUAUUUAAAAAAAUAGUCAUUGUUGGAAUUUGUUUUACUGGAUUAUGCAUAUUUGUUACAAGAAUUUUGUUUUUCUUUUUCUUUUUCUAGUACCGAAAAAGAAUGAGAGGGAGAAAAGGUGAUUUUUGUUCAUUGAAAAAACAAAGUGUUUUCAAUGAGGAGGUUGGAUUAGAUGAUUUAUAAAGUCAUUUUCAGAGCUUUGUACAUAGUAAACACUUAAUGUUUAUGGACUUGGUCUGACUUCCAGGCUCAAGUCUUAUGAUGGUUGGUUAUGCCAGUUUUGCAUAUGACUCUUCUAAAUUCCACUAGAACAGGCUCUCCCUUUAGUGUACAAUUUAGCAAAACAAUUUCAUCUCUAAGAUCCUGUAGUCUGAAAUUCUCCUCUUCCAUUAUAAUCUUUCUUCUCCCCACUUCCUAUUCCUCUUAUAUCUGUUCUUUGCUCUCUCAAUGACCUUUUAUUUAUUUUUGCCUACCCCUUUCUACUUCCUCCCUAAUUCUGUAAGUUGUUUGAUAUAGAUUCUAUAUGUGCAAUUAUGUAAAACAUUUCCGUUGGUCAUAUUAUGAAAGCAGAAACAAUUUGCAAAAAAGAAAAAAAAUGAUAGUUUGCAAAGAAAGAAGGGAAGGAAGGAAGCAAAAACAGUAUGUUUCAAUCUGCAUUCAGACUUCCAUCAGUUCUUUCUCUAGAUUUGGAUGUUUCCCUUAUGAGUCUUUUAGAAUUGCAUGACAAACCUUUUGAUGAUCUCUUGUCUGUCACAUGUCUCACAAUACUUGUUAUAUAUUUUCUUAUAUCUAAGCCUUCAAUUCUACCUCUUUCCCUCUCAUUCUCAGUAUGCUAAAGACCAGACUUGUGAUUUCUAUCAUAUAGAGAACCUUCUAUCAGUAUAGAUUGGCAGAUUUGCCUAGAAAACUAAGAAGUUAAAUGACUUGUUAGCAUAAACCCAUUUCAAAUCCAGUUCUCUAUCAAAUAUAUCUUUGUUUCUCCAUACUCUGUACAAGAAUCCCAAAUCUCUUUAAUUACUCUUCCUUUGCUUCUAAUUUUAUUGAAAAGAUAAAAAUCAUUCACUUUCCUAAACCUUUCAGUAUUUUCAUCUAUCUUUUCCCUCUCAUUUCAUGUUCUUUUGAGGGGGGAGGGGAAUUGGGGUUAAGUGACUUGCCUAGGGUCAGAUAGCUAAUAAGUGAUAAGGUAAAGCUGUAUUUGAAUUCUGAUCUUACUGAAUCCAGGGCUAAUCCUCCAUGCACUGCAUCAGUGGUCUUCAUUAGAAUCUGGAAUGGGGGAAACUGACCUUAUUUGCCAAAGCUUAUUCCUCCACCAUCCCCUCUUUCUGUAUUUCCCUUCUCUGUUGGCAUUCACCCCUCAGCCUCUAAAUGUUCUCUGAUCUUUCUCUCCCUCUCUCCCUACACACACAGACACACACAUAUACACCCUCUUUCCCUGGAAUUUCCACCCCACCCUCCAUCCUCAGAUUAUCUGUCUGUCUUCUAUUCACUGCCAAAUUUACAUAAAGAAUUCCCUCACAACACUUCCUGUUUCUCACCCAUUCACUGACUCCUCAAUCCCUCAAUCCCAAUUCAACAGAAAUAGUUCUCUACAAAGUCACUAUGACCUUAUCUCAAAAUAGGUCAUCCUGGGUUUUUCAGCCUUCUCUUCCUUGGACUCUCUGCAACUUUAGCAAGCUUUGCUAUUUUGUUCUUGAUAUUUACUCUAACCUUGGCUUCUAUUACACGGAAUUAGGGUCCAGCUCAGUAACUACUAUACCCGAUUAUGUCCUGGAAGUAUGACUCUUGUCUUAGGGUUCUCAUCCCAAGUCUCUGCAUAUUCUUUUUUGUUAAAUGUUCUUUGAGAUAUCCUUAGAACUUCUCAAAUGAGAUAUUUUAAAAUAUUUGUAAAUCAUUUAGCAUAAUGCCUGGCACAUAGUAGGCACUUAAUAAAUAUGUAUUUCUUUUUUCCUCAUUUCUUUUCCUCCCUUUCUUUCCUCCUUUUCUUUCGGUCCUGCCUUUGCUUCCUUCCUUUCCUUUCUCCCUUCCUUCCUUACAUUCUUUCUUCCUUCGUUCCAUCCUUUCCUCAUUUCCUUCCUUCCUUUUUCCUAACCUCUCUUCUCUGAGAUUCAAACCCAGAUCCUUCAACGCUAAAUCCAGCACUAUGUCCAAGGUAAGUUUAAAUCAUAUGGAACACAGUUUGUUAAAUAAGAUUAAAAAGCAUAAUUUAUUCUGGAAAGUUUUCUUUCUUGAAAGAAAAGUAGUCAAAAUCCAAGCACCUGGUCUAAAGCUACAUUUUCUGUAAAACUUCCUUAUGUGAACUUUAUGUGUUCAUCCCCAUUAAUUGGUAACCAACUGCCACAUGCAGGGCAGGUAAACCAGUCAGCCUAGCAGAAGCAUCAAAGCAUCCCAGAGAAAAGACGGGAGAUAGCAUGUUCCAGGCAAAUCAAAUCAUUGUCAUCAUCUACCAUCCCCUCUCAAACAGUAGAGAAGAUAACACAGGAGUUAGAAGUCAAAACUCUGAGCUACCACUACACACCUCUCAGAUUGGCUAAGAUGACAGGAAAAGACAAGGACAAAUAUUGGAGGGAAUGUGGGAAAACAGGGACCCUAAUAUAUUGUUGGUGGAGUUGUGAACUGAUCCAACCAUUGUGGAGAUCAAUUUGAAACUAUGUCCAAAGGGCUAGCAAACUGUGCAUACCUUUUGACCCAGCAGUGUUUCUACUGGAUCUGUAUCCCAAAGAGAGAUUAAAGGAGGGAAAGGGCACAUGGGCAAAAAUGUUUGUGGCAGCCCUGUUUGUAGGGGCUAGAAACUGGAAAACGAAUGGAUGCCCAUCAUUUGGAGAAUGGCUGGAUAAGUUAUGAUAUAUGAAUGUUAUGGAAUAUUAUUGUUCUAUAAGAAAUGAUGAGCAGGCUAAUUUCAGAAAGACCUGGAGAGACUUAUAUGAACUGAUGCUAAAAAUGAGUGGAACCAAAAGAUCAUUGUACAUGGCAACAAUGUACAAUGUACUAUAGGAAGAUCGAUUCUGAUGGGCGCGGCUCUUAUCAACAAUGAGACCAAUUCCAAUGGUCUUAUGAUGAAGAGAGUCUUCUACACCCAGAGAGAGAAUUGUGGGAACUAAGUAUGGAUCACAACAUAGUAUUUUCACCUUUUUUGUUGUUUGCUCGCAUUUUGUUUUCUUUCUCAUUUUUUAUUAAAUUUUUCUUGUGUACCAUGAUAUGUAUAGAAGAAUUGCACAUUGGAUUAUUUGCCAUCUAGAGAAAGGAGUGGGGAAAAG
ensembl:lncRNA